rnacentral:rRNA from 1 species
UACGUAGGGUGCGAGCGUUGUCCGGAAUUAUUGGGCGUAAAGAGCUCGUAGGCGGUGUGUCACGUCGGCCGUGAAAACCUGCAGCUUAACUGUGGGCGUGCGGUCGAUACGGGCAUCACUGGAGUUCGGCAGGGGAGACUGGAAUUCCUGGUGUAGCGGUGAAAUGCGCAGAUAUCAGGAGGAACACCGGUGGCGAAGGCGGGUCACUGGUCCAUUACUGACGCUGAGGUGCGAAAGCGUGGGGAGCAAACAGG